rnacentral:rRNA from 1 species
AUACGUAGGGUGCAAGCGUUAAUCGGAAUUACUGGGCGUAAAGCGUGCGCAGGCGGUUUUGUAAGACAGAGGUGAAAUCCCCGGGCUCAACCUGGGAACUGCCUUUGUGACUGCAAGGCUAGAGUACGGCAGAGGGGGAUGGAAUUCCGCGUGUAGCAGUGAAAUGCGUAGAUAUGCGGAGGAACACCGAUGGCGAAGGCAAUCCCCUGGGCCUGUACUGACGCUCAUGCACGAAAGCGUGGGGAGCAAACAGGAUUAGAUACCCUGGUAGUCCACGCCCUAAACGAUGUCAACUGGUUGUUGGGUCUUCAUUGACUCAGUAACGAAGCUAACGCGUGAAGUUGACCGCCUGGGGAGUACGGCCGCAAGGCUAAAACUCAAAUGAAUUGGCGGGG